UCCGGAGGGAAGCGAGUGGCGAACGGCUGAGUAACACGUGGAGAACCUGCCCCCUCCCCCGGGAUAGCCGCCCGAAAGGACGGGUAAUACCGGAUACCCCCGGGCGCCGCAUGGCGCCCGGGCUAAAGCCCCGACGGGAGGGGAUGGCUCCGCGGCCCAUCAGGUAGACGGCGGGGUGACGGCCCACCGUGCCGACAACGGGUAGCCGGGUUGAGAGACCGACCGGCCAGAUUGGGACUGAGACACGGCCCAGACUCCUACGGGAGGCAGCAUG
rnacentral:rRNA from 1 species